UACAGAGGGUGCUAACGUUGUUCGGAAUUACUGGGCAUAAAGCGCACGUAGGCGGCCAGAUAAGUGUAGAGUGAAAUCCCACGGCUUACCCGUGGAACUGCUCUGCAUACUGUCUGGCUAGAGGAAGGUAGGGGAGAGCAGAACUCUUGGAGGAGCGGUGAAAUGCGUAGAUAUCAAGAGGAAUACCAGUGGCGAAGGCGGCUCUCUGGUCCUUUUCUGACGCUGAGGUGCGAAAGCUAGGGUAGCGAAC
rnacentral:rRNA from 1 species